rnacentral:rRNA from 1 species
AUUGAACGCUGGCGGCAGGCCUAACACAUGCAAGUCGAACGGUAACAGGAAGCAGCUUGCUGCUUCGCUGACGAGUGGCGGACGGGUGUGUAAUGUCUGGGAAACUGCCUGAUGGAGGGGGUUAACUACUGGAAACGGUAGCUAAUACCGCAUAACGUCGCAAGACCAAAGAGGGGGACCUUAGGGCCUCUUGCCAUCGGCUGUGCCCAGAUGGGAUUAGCUAGUAGGUGGGGUAACGGCUCACCUAGGCGACGAUCCCUAGCUGGUCUGAGAGGAUGACCAGCCACACUGGAACUGAGACACGGUCCAGACUCCUACGGGAGGCAGCAGUGGGGAAUAUUGCACAAUGGGCGCAAGCCUGAUGCAGCCAUGCCGCGUGUAUGAAGAAGGCCUUCGGGUUGUAAAGUACUUUCAGCGGGGAGGAAGGGAGUAAAGUUAAUACCUUUGCUCAUUGACGUUACCCGCAGAAGAAGCACCGGCUAACUCCGUG